UGGCACAGGGACUCCAUCAUAGCGACCCGACGCUGGCGUUCCUCGCCGAUCUCCAGGGAGCCACACUCUUGUAGCAGCAUCUCUUCG